rnacentral:lncRNA from 1 species
CCUGAAUUCAAGAGAAUAGUGGAGAUGUGAAAUUCCAAUGAAUUCUUUGCACCAAGGCCUAGAUGCAGGCAGAAAAGUGACGAAGUCGAUAUUUUUAAAUUCCGGAUUAGCUGAUUUGGGAUCGGUCAUGGCAACCAGAGCAACUGACAUGGUCACUCGGACUGCGUAACAGCACAGAAAUCCCAACGUCGCCAGGAGGAUCUGCACGUGUCUGCAUCCUAUCAGAGCUGUGACAGGAAACCAUGGAUUUACAUAUAGUCGUAUAUAUCGUCUGGCGAAAGUACUGCAGCAUUUGGAAGGAAAAGGUCCAGGGAGAUCUCUCGAGUGCACAAUUUGCAUCGAUUGAACGUUGCACUCUGCAGCGAGCAUCUUAUGGAAUAUCACACUUCUCAAUGAACAUGCAUUAUUCUAUUUAUGAAUUUAUAAACACUUCUACACCCUCUUGAGCAAUAUCGCAGGCGAUAAGGUUUCCAAUGUACUUGUUUUAUCGAUGCACACGUUUAAUCACCGCCGAUCGAUCACGAGCACCUGAACUGACGAAAAGAAUUCCACGUUUCUGAGCCCAAAACAUCCAGAAGUAUACCAACACCACCGACUAUAAAUCCUUCACUUUCUCCAGAAAUAUUUCUCACAAAGGAAAAUGAAAUCCCGUAAACGUGUCGCUUGAAGGAACUAGGAGGGGCUCUUCAUCAUCUCCACCCUGGAUAUCCUCCUGGUCCCGAGUCCGACCGUCAUGGUGCCUCUCCGUGUACCUCGAGGCACUCCUUGGUAUACUCCUCGACGUGGUUCCACGUCCUAAUUUGAACUAACGAGGGAUUCGAUCGACUAAAGGUAUACGAUCAAGGGGCCGUGUUUUUAUACAUGGCCCUGCCGAUGAGUACAUAACGCGGCGCUCGUCCGCCUCUUCGCCGCAAAGUACACUUGGCCGUAUUAAGCUCCUCCGAGUUGGCGACGGCCGGUAUCGGGCGUGUGUAACCUCGGGUUUUACUCCUAUCGGAGGUAGUCAAGGACGUCCAGGAUAGGGGAGGAAAUAUUCCAAAACGUCUGGGGAUACUGGAACAGACCGGAAGAUACUAGCGAGACGGUCACCGCGAACUCAACGUAGUCGGGAAUCGCCGAGCCGCCGUCGCCUCGCCCUGGCCUCAGCAAUGUCGUUUUCCAUUUUACCAGGCGGGGCGUGGGAGAGUGGAAUACGGAUUGAAUAAAAAAAAAAGAGAAGAAAAUAUAAGGAACGCCCGUAUGUACCGAUAGCGCGCACACGCGUACGCGGAAUGUGUCCGCGUGUCUCCCGUGUACAUACGGUUCACGCAACGUGCGUAAUAAACGUACACGCGCGAUGUGGUCGCGCUCGAUCGACGUCUGCUCCUCUUAUAUCGGACCGGCUAGCGAUAGGCAAUUAAGUCGAGUCACCGACUAUCUUCACGAACGCCUCUUCUGGAUGGACUUGCCGAGGAAUCGGAUGGCUUUCUUAUCGGGCGACAAGAAUACCGCCCCGUUGUCACGUAAAGACGGCGGGCCAUCUCAUCGGGAGGCGAUAGCACUUACUCGACGUUGUUUUGCAUACUUAAACAGCCGUCAAUAAAUGCCGAAUGCAUCCAUGAAUGCA